AAGUCUGUAUAUUAUAUAGCUCAGAAAUUACCUCAACUUUGCACAAAAUACAUUAUACAACAUAACUACACACAUAUGUUGACUUUGUUAGUUAACUAACUGCUAACCCUCCAAAGCGUUAUCAUAAUAAAUAAAUAGCACUUAGUUAUGUUACAGUUACUUAAAAAUAUAUGUUUACAAGAAUUACAAUUAAAUGAAUUUAUUUGUUUCUUAUAGUCAGCAAAAGAGGGUUUCCAAGUUCCGGAUUAAAUAGGAUAUCAAUGUAUAACAUGGACUACUCAAUUAUGUUUUCUUCAGUUCAUACAUAUAUUUUGUCAUUUCCAGUUUCAGAUAGAUGGAAUUACACUACUGAAUAAUGAUUAAUUUUAAUAAUAAUUUUAUCGUUUUUGAAAUGAAUUGUGAUUGCGAGGAAUGAAACAUUACAUUAUUGUUAAGAUUGUAAGAAACAAACUAUUAUUUAUAAAAAUACUAUAAAUUUAAAUUAAGUUAAGUUGUACCUUUGUAAACGUUUACAUUCAACUUUUGACUUAAAACAAUCUUGUGUUCACUUAACUUAGCUUAUCUUGAAUUAAUUAUAUUUAUUAACAAUUGCAAAUCUUAGUGUUAACUCCACCAUUGACGGUCCUCAGUCCGUAUGAAAAAGGAGGAAGGGCGCUUUAGACAUUUUUCUUUUUUAGUUGAAGUAUUAAAAGUUAAUCAUGCUUCUCUUUGUUUUAAAGUAUUGAUAUACCAUACUACCAUCGUCCAACUGUGAAGAAGUAGGUGGUAGCCAAUUUUAAAAGUGCAGAUCUUUGAAGACCAGGAUGUGUAAAUGUGAAUUGGAAAGUGGCAACAUAUACCUAGUUCAGACUUCAGAAAUUUAGUUAGACAUGAGUUAUGGAAAUUGGAUUCAUUAAUUUUUGGUCAUUCAAAGUAGCUUUAGAAACCCUAAUAAAUGUAUUUUCUAUCUAAUAAUUGUAUUAAAUAUAAUUAAAUAAGAUUUUAUAUUUAACUUAUGA